rnacentral:ncRNA from 1 species
UGAUAGCUAUGAAGCGUGAGGUUGCUGCCAAGGCGCGAGGCGCACAAAGGCAGGUUUUCCGUGGAGCGAAUGUCAAGUUAGGAAACUGGCGACAA